UACGAAGGGUGCAAGCGUUGCUCGGAAUCACUGGGCGUAAAGGGUGCGUAGGCGGGUCUUUAAGUCCGGGGUGAAAUCCUGGAGCUCAACUCCAGAACUGCCUUUGAUACUGAAGAUCUUGAGUUCGGGAGAGGUGAGUGGAACUGCGAGUGUAGAGGUGAAAUUCGUAGAUAUUCGCAAGAACACCAGUGGCGAAGGCGGCUCACUGGCCCGAUACUGACGCUGAGGCACGAAAGCGUGGGGAGCAAACAGG
rnacentral:rRNA from 1 species